GUGUCGUAUGGAAGGUGAGAAGUUGCACUCCCUUGAUAAAGAUAGGAGAAGCCCUCGGGUCCUUGGGUUUAAUAACACAUGCAUGGUUGAGGCCUUGCCUCAUGCUUUGUGGCAUCUAACCACUGUUGUAC